rnacentral:rRNA from 1 species
GCUUACGCCCACCUCUCCCUGAGCACCCGCCCGAUCUCGUCUGAUCUCGGAAGCUAAGCAGGUCGGGCCCGGUUAGUACUUGGAUGGGAGACCGCCUGGGAAUACCAGGUGCUGUAAGCC